rnacentral:lncRNA from 1 species
CUCCUUGAGAACACGAACUGCCGUCGGUUAACGAAUUUUGAGAUGCAGUUUUUCUGCCACGUGUCAGGGGGCUAUUGGGCCGAAACCGUUCAUGUGGAUGGAGGCGACGUGGCUUGAUCUGGUGGUAGGUGCGUCGAAACCUUGGAUCGAGGAAGGGUCCAGGCGCUGCCACGUGUCGGCAUCCGGGAAGCCCUCGUCCGACGUGCUUUCAUCUCAACCGUUGAAGGGCCUUAUAUAUAUGCGACCACUUAUAUCCAAAACUUCACUUUUGCUGCAAAUCUGCUCCUGGUGCUGAGGCUCUGUCGAGUUGUCCCCCAAUCCCAGGUAGUUGUCUCCGUCCUCUUCCUUUGAAAGCUCCUUUCGAAGUUUUCUUUUCCAUGCCUGUUUCCUUGCAUCCUUUCUUCUUUGCCAUUUUUCUCUUUGUUCUUUUUUCUGGGGCUAGCGUUAUGGCUAGGACCUCUCUUCGAGGAAGUCAGUCGGGAAAUCCGACCGACGAUUCUCGAUCGACCCUAGAGGUG